rnacentral:misc_RNA from 1 species
UAAUAAGUGUUUUUAUGGCACUUUUUAAAUCCAUAUCCACCUUGUGUGCAAUGUCAGUCGGUUUUCUUUUCGUCAAUGGAAAAAGGAUCGACCAAACAUCAACCUUUAUUUUAAUUGAACUCUUUGUCUGAAAAACUAUUAUGAAUAAACUAAUUCAAAAUAC